UAAGAUCCGGUUGCUGUUUAAGUU
rnacentral:siRNA from 1 species